GCUAGAAACUGUCAUCGGCCUUAGGAGAUCGUUCGUGAUGGCGUGAUUUUGUAAAUAAUUAUGAGGAUAAAAUGGAUUUAAAUUAGGUUUUCGUGCAUUAUUUGACCAAAACAGGAUAGAAAAAUAUCUAUGAACAGGUUAUGGCCGGACGAUGACCCUUCCCAGCCCUAGAUGUUCCAGUUUUCCGGAAAGGCGGCGAAAGACGAACAACCAUCUCAGGAAUCAGGAGGACUGUUGGAGCAAAGCAAGCAGGGCCGAAUCCAAAUAGUGAUAGCGCCGGAUCACAACUGCUCUCGCGGGAACUCGUUUAUUCUGGAUGGGCAUGGAUGGAAAAAGCAAGCUUGGCCGAUGGCCGUUUGCUGUCAUCAUUUUAAAAUUGUGAAUUUAGUGUUAUUUUUAUUAUUGAAACAAAUAAAAUUUUGCUGUUUUGAUUUUUGUAAUGUG